rnacentral:sRNA from 1 species
GAGGUGCCAUCUUUUUUCGGCGUGUCACGUCUUUACGGUGCCAUGCCAAACCGGGUGGCCGGGCUUCGUAGGACAGGGCGGGGCCUGGCAUUAAAGGGAGGGGGACAAUCAGCGCUGAAAUCUUGGCGUUUUGCUGCUGCGGGCGUGAGCACUGGGGGCGUUCGCCCAGCACCUUCUUCGGGGGCUCUUUGCUUUGUCUGUAGAGGUUACGUGAUCUGCUCUCCCAGCCCUGGUUUCUGGCUUUUAUUCUGAGGGUGUUUAGCCAACCUCCCCCCUACGCCCAUGCGCCUCUCUUUCCUUUUUCGCUCCUCAUUUCCGAGCCCAUUGUUGGAUCUCGAGGCUUGCUGGGGUCGAUGAACUCGAGUCAACCCCCCGACCCCCGGCACGCAUGGAACGGGCGUGACCGCGCGCAGCCUCGUCUCGGAGUCUGCCGGCGCCGGGAAGCUUCUGAAGGGAUAGGAUUCGAGUCUCCGUGCGCGCUGCGGGCGGCGGCAGAGGGAUCUCGCCCCUCCCUACACCCCAAGUGUCCUGUGGGCCACGCCACACCAGGUUGCCCAGCGAGGGACGCUGGCUCCCCGGGUGGGGAGCCCUGGCGGGGCCUCUCCGGCUUUACGCCCUGUUGCUUCGCCUGGCUGGAGAAUGUGAGGAAGGGGCAUAAGGUUACUGGUGCUUCGGCCACACCCAUCUUUCUGAGCCCACGGGACUGGGCGCAGAGGGGGGAUUGCCAUGGAAACCACAGGCGUCCGGAGAGGGGAUCUUGGGGCUGGCCUCACCCCUUCCCUGCGGAGAUUGGGGACCCUGGGGUAGGGGGAGCCGCGCCCAGUCGGCCUCCUGGAGGACACGGGAGGAAGCCCCGAACCCCCGCGCCUGAGGCUGUUUCUGAUUGGCCCCUGGGGGCCGCAGACACGCAGAUAGGCGGCCCUGGGUGUAUUUUUAUUAAUAUUAUGUCCGUACUGAUUAAUAUUAUUUAUCUUAAAUAAAUUUCACCCGUGUCCAAGUUCACCGCGCCCCCAAAACCGAGUCUGGGGCGGCAGGGGGAACUCCUGGCCAACGAAUCCGAGCCUCGCCCUCCUGUGAUGAACCUGGUACGCACGGUUUUCUGGUUAAUUCUAUCGCUGAAAACUGGUGCGGGGGGCGCACUUCUGAGACGGAAGAGCAUCUAGGAGCUGAAUCCUCCACGCGGGUCGCCCAGGUUGAUCUGAAUUUCUGGGGAAUGUCUUGGCUGCCCGCCCGGGACCAGGCCGACCCUCCUUGACGGUGGCGUAGAGGGCUGGAGCCUGGGUACUGCGAGGCUCCUCGCAUGGCUGGGCCCGCCGCGAGGGGUUGCAGAGUGGCUCAGGGAUCGAUUCAAGCAUCGUCUCUCCUCCCUCGCCCCCAGACAGAGCUGGGCGCGGGGUUCCCCUUCCAGAUGGAGCGAGGGUCUCGGGGUGGCCCCGGAAAAGGGGAGCCCGCGGCCACGGCUACGUAUUGCCAUCUCGCGAGCAGAGAUGUCACCUCCUGCCUUUGGAGGAAAGGGAGCCCUGUGGGGAUGAGCGCAUUUAGCCUAAUGCUGGGAACAAAGCGCACUCCGCGCUUCUGCGAUUUCGCUCCAUUUUGAAAUGUGUUAGCGCUUUGGUGGGGCCGCUGCGGUGGGCAAGGCCGGGGGCGCUGUUAAUGGAGGAACCUCAGGGGGACGGUCCUUCGUAGGAAACUCUAUCCUGGCUCUGCGCGCGCUUUAAGGAAAUGGCUUCGCUCCAGGACCUCGAGGGAUGCAGCUUCUGCGCGGAUGACGGUGGGGUGCUGAACCAGCCGGUGCGCCUCUGGAAAUGUCUGGGCACGGAUCCUGGGGCCAUCGACGACUCCUCCCCAUUCCCAGCAGGCGGGAGCUCUUACAUUCCGAGCGAGAGACCCCUCUCACCCUCUGGCGCUCACACACCUGUAACUCCAAACCUCCGUCUCAGAAUGGUCCAGGCUGGAAGGGAUGAUCGGGGCUCCGACAGCGACUGCCUAGCUCACCCCUCUGCGUGCUCAGGCUCCAGGCUCAGCAGGACCAAUUUGAGUUCUAUCUGAUCCCCCUCGGCCCCUUAACUGACCCAUCCUACAGGAGACAAGGAAAUGUCUUUCCUACCGCGGUUGAUUCUGGGGUGUCAUUUUGUGUUUUGUGAUGGCUGCUUAUAUUUAUUGUAUAAGCAUUGUUUAUUUUCCAUCUCCAAAUCCUCCCUCUACAUAAACAAAUUAAUGGAUAAACAGAUAAGUGUAUCCCCUGCCCCCACCCCUGCUACGCAGGUCCGGAGUGACUCUUGAAGCUCAUACAUUCCUUGGCCAAGUUUGCUUCUCUAACAGAUGUUUAUAUAGCAAUAACCUGGCUUGGCUCUUGGGUUCACCUUUGGACGAUUUGGGGAAGGGGCUUGUUGGCUUUGCUGGUUUUUGGAUGAGUGACAGUCCAUGACUGUUCCUGCUGGAAGGGCGUGACUUUUAAGUGGUUUCUAAUAUCAGGCAUUGCUCCUCCGACAGGAACAAAAGAAAUGGAUACUGCCCAUAAAUUGUUAGAAAACUUAGAAUCGCUUUGAUUGAGGAAAGGUUAGAUUUAUUCCGGUUGGAAAAAGUGGCCUUUCUAUUAAACGUGCCCUUUGACCCUCAUGCCCUUGGAGGUCGGUGCCAGCCUGGAGAUGGGAUAAGAUUGUGGUUUUCCUUCUGCCUUUUUAACAUCUGUUGUUACAGUCCAUUUGUUGAAAAUUUAAAGAAACUGUUUUAUUCCACUUUCCCUCAGCAUUUAUGUGUGUGGUUUCAGUAGCUCUGUGGCUAUAUGUACGAACACGUGUUAUUUUUCCAAUUGGACAUGUGAUAAUUUUCCAGCUGGACCUUGCCUUCUAUUGAUGUAUUUAUUUAGCAUCUUCCUUACUCCCUCCUUGAAAAAGAAUCACUCAAAAACAAAUAAAAACAGCCAUAGGGGCCUAAUACAGUGCUAGACAUA